UGCCAGUGAUAAACUGGAGGAAGGUGGGGAUGACGUCAAGUCAUCAUGGCCCUUACGACCAGGGCUACACACGUGCUACAAUGGCAUAUACAAAGAGAAGCGACCUCGCGAGAGCAAGCGGACCUCAUAAAGUAUGUCGUAGUCCGGAUUGGAGUCUGCAACUCGACUCCAUGAAGUCGGAAUCGCUAGUAAUCGUGGAUCAGAAUGCCACGGUGAAUACGUUCCCGGGCCUUGUACACACCGCCCGUCACACCAUGGGAGUGGGUUGCAAAAGAAGUAGGUAGCUUAACCUUCGGGAGGGCGCUUACCACUUUGUGAUUCAUGACUGGGGUGAAGUCGUAACAAGGUAACCGUAGGGGAACCUGCGGUUGGAUCACCUCCUUACCUU
rnacentral:rRNA from 1 species